rnacentral:rRNA from 1 species
UUUGCGGAGAGUUUGAUCCUGGCUCAGGAUGAACGCUGGCGGCGUGCCUAAUACAUGCAAGUCGAACGGGGUAUUUGAGCAAUCGAAUACUUAGUGGCGAACGGGUGAGUAACGCGUUGGUGACCUGCCCCAAAGCGGGGGAUAACAGCCUGAAAGGGUUGCUAAUACCGCAUAUGGUCUA